rnacentral:rRNA from 1 species
CCUACGGGUGGCUGCAGUGAGGAAUAUUGAGCAAUGGGCGCAAGCCUGACUCAGCAACGCCGCGUGGACGAUGACGGCCUUCGGGUUGUAAAGUCCUUUUCUGGGGGACGAUGAUGACGGUACCCCAGGAACAAGUCCCGGCUAACUACGUGCCAGCAGCCGCGGUAAAACGUAGGGGGCGAGCGUUAUCCGGAUUUACUGGGCGUAAAGCGCAUGUAGGCGGUUGGGAAAGUUGGACGUGAAAGCUCCUGGCUUAACUGGGAGAGGUCGUACAAAACUACCCAACUUGAGGUUGGAAGAGGAGAGUGGAAUUCCCGGUGUAGUGGUGGAAUGCGUAGAUAUCGGGAGGAACACCAGUGGCGAAAGCGGCUCUCUGGACCAAUACUGACGCUGAGAUGCGAAAGCGUGGGGAGCAAACGGGAUUAGAUACCCGGGUAGUC